AACGAACGCUGGCGGCAUGCUAACACAUGCAAGUCGCACGAGACCUUCGGGUCUAGUGGCGCACGGGUGCGUAACGCGUGGGAACCUGCCCUUAGGUUCGGAAUAACUCCCCGAAAGGGGUGCUAAUACCGGAUAAUGUCUUCGGACCAAAGAUUUAUCGCCUUUGGAUGGGCCCGCGUUGGAUUAGCUAGUUGGUAGGGUAAAAGCCUACCAAGGCGACGAUCCAUAGCUGGUCUGAGAGGAUGAUCAGCCACACUGGGACUGAGACACGGCCCAGACUCCUACGGGAGGCAGCAGUGGGGAAUAUUGGACAAUGGGCGAAAGCCUGAUCCAGCAAUGCCGCGUGAGUGAUGAAGGCCUUAGGGUUGUAAAGCUCUUUUACCCGGGAUGAUAAUGACAGUACCGGGAGAAUAAGCGCCGGCUAACUCCGUG
rnacentral:rRNA from 1 species